rnacentral:rRNA from 1 species
CCUACGGGAGGCAGCAGUGGGGAAUAUUGCACAAUGGGGGAAACCCUGAUGCAGCGACGCCGCGUGAGUGAAGAAGCGCCUCGGCGCGUAAAGCUCUUUCAGUAGGGACGAUAAUGACGGUACCUGACGAAUAAGCACGGCCAACUACGUUCCAGCAGCCGCGGUAAUACGGAGGGGGCAAGCGUUAAUCGGAUUUACUGGGUGUAAAGGGAGCGUAGACGGGGGAGCAAGUCUGGAGUGAAAGGCCGGGGCCCAACCCAUGGACCGCACUGGAAACUGCUCGGCUGGAGUGCGGGAGAGGUAGGCGGAAUUCCUAGUGUAGCGGUGAAAUGCGUAGAGAUUAGGAGGAACACCAGCGGCGAAGGCGGCUUACUAGACCGUGACUGACGUUGAUGCUCGAAAGCGUGGGGAGCAAACAGGAUUAGAUACCCUGGUAGUC